rnacentral:rRNA from 1 species
UACGUAGGUCUCAAGCGUUAUCCGGAAUUACUGGGCGUAAAGCGUCCGCAGCCGGACAUAUAAGUCUGUCUUUAAAUAUCCCGAUUCAAUCGGGAGAAAGGGAUAGAUACUGUAUGUCUAGAGGACUUUAGAGGUUAGUGGAAUUUCCGGUGGAGCGGUGAAGUGCGUUGAUAUCGGAAGGAAUGCCAAAAGCGAAAGCAGCUAUCUAUAAAGUAUCUGACGGUCAGGGACGACAGCUUGGGUAGCAAACGGG